UGGGGAAUAUUGGACAAUGGGCGCAAGCCUGAUCCAGCAAUGCCGCGUGUGUGAAGAAGGCCUUCGGGUUGUAAAGCACUUUUAUCAGGAGCGAAACGCUGUCGGCUAAUACCCGGCGGAACUGACGGUACCUGAGGAAUAAGCACCGGCUAACUUCGUGCCAGCAGCCGCGGUAAUACGAAGGGUGCAAGCGUUAAUCGGAAUUACUGGGCGUAAAGCGUGCGUAGGCGGUUUCUUAAGUCUGCUGUGAAAUCCCCGGGCUCAACCUGGGAAUGGCAGUGGAUACUGGGAGGCUAGAGUGUGUCAGAGGGUGGUGGAAUUCCCGGUGUAGCGGUGAAAUGCGUAGAGAUCGGGAGGAACAUCAGUGGCGAAGGCGGCCACCUGGGACAACACUGACGCUGAGGCACGAAAGCGUGGGGAGCAAACAGGAUUAGAUACCCUGGUAGUCCACGCCCUAAAGCGAUGCGAACUGGAUGUUGGUCUCAACUCGGAGAUCAGUGUCGAAGCUAACGCGUUAAGUUCGCCGCCUGGGGAGUACGGUCGCAAGACUGAAACUCAAAGG
rnacentral:rRNA from 1 species